CAAUCCUCACAAUCCCUCCCUUCAAAAUCUCAGAUCUACCUUCCCCUCGUAAAAAUCUCAGAUCUCCCUCUCUCUUCCUCAUCUCAUAGCUCGUGAAGAGCGACAACCACCGCCGUCGUCUUCAUCUGUCAACGCACCACCGUCAGUCUUCGAAGUCACGGCUUGUCGCCGCCGCCGCUUCAGCUUCCACGAGAUCUGGUUUUGCAGGGUGAGUCCGACGCCGAUUCGGCAGCCUGACCCUCCGUCGCCGUCCGACCUAAGCCUACCUUCCGUCACCGUCGCAGCUUGCCGCAUAUUCCGUCGCCCUUGUUGCUCCAUCAGGAUGCUUCCUUCGAUUUUCAAGCACAUACCAGUUGGAAUCUUCUCCAGACCAAAAAAGAAACCCCGUCCCCAGCCGAUUGCAGAUGCAGCAGUCAAGAGAGUCCGUAGAUUUUUUGUUGGGAAGAAUUAAGAAUGAAAAUGAAAGAAAAGUAGUUGAUUUUUUCCAACGCACUUAUAACAAAUGCUGCAUGUGAUAUGAAUUGUAUUAUUGAACUUGUUGGAAUUUAAUUACACCGCAUAUGUAAAUAGAGGUUUUUUCCUUUGCACAUGGACAAUGUACAUUUUUAUAAAUUAAAUAUCAAGGUAUCUUCAAAACAGAAAAUAUUUUUAACAUAUAUGUUUCAAAAAAUAUUUUUUAAAAAAUUGCAAUUUAAAAAUUUUAAUUAUGCAGUGUUCAAAGUAUAUCUAAAAUGUCAAUUUAUAAGAAUUAUUAAAAAAAAUUUAGUUUAAUUUAGAUAAUUUAUAUUAAAUAUUAGCUGCCCAAAAUGCUAAUCAAGCAAAUUGGGUAAAUUUUUUAAUUGAAAUUCGUAUUAUUAAGAUUAAAUUUAUAUUAUCUAGAUUGAUUGAACAAAUUUAUUGAAUUAUAUAAAAUUUUUUAAUAAUUUUAUAAUAAAAUAAAAACUAAAACUUUUAAACUUGGACUCCAGAUUUAAUCAAGCAGUCCAUACAGUGCUUUGUUUUGGAUACACAUAUAUAUACAUAUGAUUUGCUUUUGUCCUAAUAAUCUGCGCCGUUGUUCUUCGUUUGUCCUUUCAAUCCAAUUCGCUUAAAUCUUUGGGUUGUAAACACUUUUGUUUUAUUUUCUUAUUUUUUUUUAUAUUUCUUGUGAUUUGAGUUUUAAAAAUAUUUCACAAUUUUAAUUUUAUUGUCCUAUCUCCAUGGUGUUCUGUAGUAGCUUCAUCUUUAUUGUGUUCUCUAGUAGCUUCGUUCAUCUUCAUCAUGCUCUUUCUCCCUCUAAUAUCAUUCUUCCAAGCUCAAUAUGGUUUGUCCCAAAAAUACAACCAUAUGUAUAUGCUGGUAUAACAGUUAUUUUGUUUCAAGGAUCAUACGUUGUGAAAAGCAGUUGAGAUAUUUGACUUCCGUCUGAGAUUGUAUGGUGUCGGUUUGAAAUUGUACCCACCCUAUUUAUGCAUGUAUAUGUUGGGUUGUAUUAAAAGUACUCUCCUAUG